GAUGAACGCUAGCUACAGGCUUAACACAUGCAAGUCGAGGGGAAACGACAUCGAAAGCUUGCUUUUGAUGGGCGUCGACCGGCGCACGGGUGAGUAACGCGUAUCCAACCUGCCCAUCACUUGGGAAUAACCUUGCGAAAGUAAGACUAAUACCCAAUGACAUCCCACGAAGCAAUCUGAAUGGGAUUAAAGAUUUAUCGGUGAUGGAUGGGGAUGCGUCUGAUUAGCUUGUUGGCGGGGUAACGGCCCACCAAGGCAACGAUCAGUAGGGGUUCUGAGAGGAAGGUCACCCACAUUGGAACGGAGACACGGUCCAAACUCCUAAGGGAGGCAGCAGUGAGGAAUAUUGAUCAAUGGGCGAGAGCCUGAACCAGCCAAGUAGCGUGCAGGAUGACGGCCCUAUGGGUUGUAAACUGCUUUUAUAAGGGAAUAAAGUGGGUCUCGUGAGACUUUUUGCAUGUACCUUAUGAAUAAGGACCGGCUAAUUCCGUG
rnacentral:rRNA from 1 species